CAGAGGGUGCGAGCGUUAAUCGGAAUUACUGGGCGUAAAGGGCGCGUAGGCGGUUUAGUGGGUGUGAUGUGAAAGCCCUGGGCUUAACCUAGGAAGCGCAUCGCAAACUACUGAACUGGAGUAGAUGAGAGGGUGGCGGAAUUUCCGGUGUAGCGGUGAAAUGCGUAGAGAUCGGAAGGAACGUCGAUGGCGAAGGCAGCCACCUGGCAUCAUACUGACGCUGAGGCGCGAAAGCGUGGGGAGCGAACAGGAUUAGAUACCCUGGUAGUCCACGCUGUAAACGAUGAGGACUAGAUGUUGGUGGGGGAACCCAUCAGUAUCGAAGCUAACGCGAUAAGUCUUCCGCCUGGGAAGUACGGCCGCAAGGUUG
rnacentral:rRNA from 1 species